rnacentral:rRNA from 1 species
AGUGAACGCUGGCGGUAGGCCUAACACAUGCAAGUCGAACGGCAGCACAGUAAGAGCUUGCUCUUACGGGUGGCGAGUGGCGGACGGGUGAGGAAUACAUCGGACUCUACUUUUUCGUGGGGGAUAACGUAGGGAAACUUACGCUAAUACCGCAUACGACCUACGGGUGAAAGCAGGGGAUCUUCGGACCUUGCGCGAUUGAAUGCGCCGAUGUCGGAUUAGCUAGUUGGCGGGGUAAAGGCCCACCAAGGCGACGAUCCGUAGCUGGUCUGAGAGGAUGAUCAGCCACACUGGAACUGAGACACGGUCCAGACUCCUACGGGAGGCAGCAGUGGGGAAUAUUGGACAAUGGGCGCAAGCCUGAUCCAGCCAUACCGCGUGGGUGAAGAAGGCCUUCGGGUUGUAAAGCCCUUUUGUUGGGAAAGAAAAGCAGCAGGUUAAUACCCCGCUGUUCUGACGGUACCCAAAGAAUAAGCACCGGCUAACUUCGUG